UACGAAGGGGGCUAGCGUUGCUCGGAAUGACUGGGCGUAAAGGGCGCGUAGGCGGAUGGUACAGUCAGAUGUGAAAUCCCCGGGCUCAACCUGGGAAUGGCAUUUGGGACUGCAAGGCUGGAGUACGGCAGAGGAGACUGGAAUUCCUGGUGUAGCAGUGAAAUGCGUAGAUAUCAGGAGGAAUACCGAUGGCGAAGGCAGGUCUCUGGGCUGAUACUGACGCUCAUGCACGAAAGCGUGGGGAGCAAACAGG
rnacentral:rRNA from 1 species